rnacentral:rRNA from 1 species
UACGGAAGGCAGCAGUGGGGAAUAUUGCACAAUGGGCGCAAGCCUGAUGCAGCCAUGCCGCGUGUAUGAAAAAGGGCCUUUCGGGGUUGUAAAGUACUUUCAGUCGUGAGGAAGGUGUUAAGGUUAAUAACCUUAGCAAUUGACGUUAGCGACAGAAGAAGCACCGGCUAACUCCGUGCCAGCAGCCGCGGUAAUACGGAGGGUGCGAGCGUUAAUCGGAAUUACUGGGCGUAAAGGGCACGCAGGCGGUUAAUUAAGUUGGAUGUGAAAUCCCCGGGCUUAACCUGGGAAUGGCAUUCAAGACUGGUUAGCUAGAGUCUUGUACGAGGGGGUAGAAUUCCAUGUGUAGCGGUGAAAUGCGUAGAGAUGUGGAGGAAUACCGGUGGCGAAGGCGGCCCCGUGGACAAAGGACUGACGCUCAUGUGCGAAAGCGUGGGGAGCAAACAGGGAUUAGAUACC